CGGAACGUGCCCUGGAGUGGGGGAUAACUAGUCGAAAGACUAGCUAAUACCGCAUACGAUCUAUGGAUGAAAGUGGGGGAUCGCAAGACCUCAUGCUCGUGGAGCGGCCGAUAUCUGAUUAGCUAGUUGGUGGGGUAAAGGCCUACCAAGGCAUCGAUCAGUAGCUGGUCUGAGAGGACGACCAGCCACACUGGGACUGAGACACGGCCCAG
rnacentral:rRNA from 1 species